CGCGCUUUUGGGAAUGAAACCUCCAAAGGGAUAAAUCCGUGAGGCCUAUGAGCCAAAGUGGACAAUACUAACUGGAGAAGGAUCGGGCUGUUACAUUGAUUGUGGCCGAGCUCAAUUAUCCAACAUUGAAAAGCUUGCUUUCCCAAUAUUAUCUGCAGCAACAAAGUUAAGACCGUAUUUCAAAUCACAUAUUAUUGAAGUCCAGACGAAUUAUCCUUUAUAAAAUAUAUUGCAUUACUCAGAGACAUCAGGCCAUUUAGCUACAUUGUCGGUUAUAUUAGGUGCAUAGGAGAUCAUAUACGUCACUAAAAUGGUGCUCAAAGCUUAAUCACUAGCCGAUUUCAUAGCAGAAAUGACACCAUCAAUAUAGGAACCGAAUGAGGUAAGGGAAGAAUGGAAGGUUUGGGUCGAUGGAGCUGUAAGAUCAAUAGGAGCUAGGAUUAGAAUUGUGAUGGAAGGACACACAUCAGGCCAU
rnacentral:misc_RNA from 1 species